ACUCAAAGGAAUUGACGGGGACUUGCACAAGCAGUGGAUUAUGUGGUUUAAUUCGACGUCAAACGAAGAACCUCACCAGGGUUUGAAACCUAGCUGAAUAUUUUAGGAAACUUUAAUAGCCCUCACGGGCAGUUAGGCAGGUGAUGCAUGGCCGUCGUCAGUUCGUGGUUUGAAUUGUUCCCUUAAGUGGGGUAACGAACGCAACCCUCGUUGCCUGUUACAAGUGUCAGGCGAGACUGCCCACGAUUCAGUUCGUAAGCGCAAGCUUACUAGUUGAAUCGUGGGAGGAAGGCGAGGAUGACGCCAGGUCAGCAUGUCCCUCUGAUAUCCUGGGCUACACACAUAAUACAAUCGGUGCAACAACGGGUCGCGACGAGGAAACUCUGAGCCAAUCCUAAUAAAUGCACCGCCAGUUCGGAUUGAGGUCUGCAACUCGACCUCAUGAAGCCGGAAUUGCUAGUAAUCGCGGGUCAGCUAUACCGCGGUGAAUACGUUCUCAAGUCUUGUACACACCGCCCGU
rnacentral:rRNA from 1 species